rnacentral:tRNA from 1 species
UGUACUUUUAGUUUAAAAAAAACUUUAAGUUUUCGUCUUAAAAAUGUGUUCUCACAAAGUAAU